UUUGAAAAUUGGGCGACAAAAGUCAAUUUUGUAUGCAAAUUUGUUUAGUUUGGAUUCUGUGAACUAAUUUGCAUACAAAAUUGAAUUUUGUCUCACAAAAUAGA
rnacentral:sRNA from 1 species